rnacentral:rRNA from 1 species
AAGAAACUAACAAGGAUUCCCCUAGUAACUGCGAGUGAAGCGGGAAAAGCUCAAAUUUAAAAUCUGGCGGUCUUUGGCCGUCCGAGUUGUAGUCUGGAGAAGUGCUUUCCGCGCUGGACCGUGUAUAAGUCUCUUGGAACAGAGCGUCAUAGAGGGUGAGAAUCCCGUCUUUGACACGGACUACCAGUGCUUUGUGAUGCGCUCUCAAAGAGUCGAGUUGUUUGGGAAUGCAGCUCAAAAUGGGUGGUGAAUUCCAUCUAAAGCUAAAUAUUGGCGAGAGACCGAUAGCGAACAAGUACCGUGAGGGAAAGAUGAAAAGCACUUUGGAAAGAGAGUUAAACAGUACGUGAAAUUGCUGAAAGGGAAACGCUUGAAGUCAGUCGCGUUGUCCGGAACUCAGCCUUGCUUUCGCUUGGUGCACUUUCCGGAUGACGGGUCAGCAUCGAUUUUGACCGUCGGAAAAGGGCUGGAGUAAUGUGGCACCUCCGGGUGUGUUAUAGACUCUGGUCGCAUACGACGGUUGGGAUCGAGGAACGCAGCGCGCCGCAAGGCAGGGGUUCGCCCACUUUCGCGCUUAGGAUGCUGGCAUAAUGGCUUUAAACGACCCG